AGAGUUUGAUCCUGGCUCAGGACGAACGCUGGCGGCGCGCUUAAUACAUGCAAGUCGAGCGAGAACCAUGGCUUCGGCCAUGGGGACAGCGGCGAACGGGUGAGUAACACGUGGGUAAUCAACCCCCGACACCGGGAUAGCCCAGGGAAACUUGGAUUAAUACCGGAUACCCCAUCCGGCUUUCGAGCCGGCUGGAAAAGGGUAGCUUUGGCCUCUGGUCGGGGACGAGCCCGCGGCGGAUUAGCUUGUUGGUGAGGUAAAAGCUCACCAAGGCGACGAUCCGUAGCUGGUCUGAGAGGACGAUCAGCCACACUGGGACUGAGACACGGCCCAGACUCCUACGGGAGGCAGCAGUAGGGAAUCUUGCGCAAUGGGCGAAAGCCUGACGCAGCGACGCCGCGUGAGGGAAGAAGGCCUUAGGGUUGUAAACCUCUUUCAGGAGGGACGAAGCCACUCGGGUUAAUAGCCCAGAGGGUGACGGUACCUCCAGAAGAAGCCCCGGCUAACUACGUGCCAGCAGCCGCGGUAAUACGUAGGGGGCAAGCGUUGUCCGGAUUUAUUGGGCGUAAAGAGCGUGUAGGCGGCCUUACAGGUCAGCUGUGAAAACUCGAGGCUCAACCUCGAGACGUCGGUUGAAACCGUAUGGCUAGAGUCCGGAAGAGGAGAGUGGAAUUCCCGGUGUAGCGGUGAAAUGCGCAGAUAUCGGGAAGAACACCCGUGGCGAAGGCGGCUCUCUGGGACGGUACUGACGCUGAGACGCGAAAGCGUGGGGAGCGAACAGGAUUAGAUACCCCGGUAGUCC
rnacentral:rRNA from 1 species